UACGUAGGGUGCGAGCGUUGUCCGGAAUUAUUGGGCGUAAAGAGCUUGUAGGCGGUCUGUCGCGUCUGCUGUGAAAAUCCGGGGCUCAACCCCGGUCUUGCAGUGGGUACGGGCAGACUAGAGUGUGGUAGGGGAGACUGGAAUUCCUGGUGUAGCGGUGAAAUGCGCAGAUAUCAGGAGGAACACCGAUGGCGAAGGCAGGUCUCUGGGCCACUACUGACGCUGAGACGCGAAAGCGUGGGGAGCGAACAGG
rnacentral:rRNA from 1 species